GCCCCACCCGAGUUCCCAGAGACACAGGCCGGGCACCAGCGAGCUGUGAGGAGAACGCAGGGUCCCAGGGGCCCAUCUCCUCCGCCUGACCUGCCCAGACACACCUGGGUGGCGCUGGGCUCUGAGGAGACAACAGGAAGGCUUUGUUCCUGGCCUGGCUGAGACUCUCUCUCCCGGCCACUCCAGGAAGAGACCUGCCCUUUCAGGGACUCAGUUUAUGGUGGAGGGAGGGGGACAGACAAUCAGCGCUCACCCUCAGCGAGACAAGCAGGAGUCAACAAGGCCGCGAGACCCCCACCAUGUCCCAGAGACCUGUGCCACCGGGCUUUUAUUUAUGAAGUGACAGCUGGAGGCCAUCGCUUACCGGACUGGUGGGAUCAGGGGUGCGGCACUCACGGGCCUCCCUUGUGUCACAGGCCCCUCAGAGCAGGAGCCUGGGCCCCUGGGGAUGCCUUCCAUCAACGCCUCCCAGGACUUAGGGCUCCUGGGCCAGACUCUCCACAGAAGCAGAUAGUUUUCGUCAGGGUCCAGACACCAAUGCAGAUCCACCCCAGAUGGUCAGCUAUCCCCGGUCACCGAAGUUUCACUGUCCCCUACGCGAAGGCCCUUCUCUUACCUUUGCUAGAGUAUCCACUACGCACACCAGCGGCUGCUUCGCAGGAUAUUUGGCCAUGUCCCACUCAAAGUGGGUCACGAAGGAUGUUAAGUCGACUGGAAGAAACACAUUUCAACAAGUGAGCGGGGCUCUCCCCAUCUGGUGGAGACCAAGGACACACACCCCUGCUGGGUUAUUGUUCUGUUUUGAAGUACCUCCAAGAUAAGACUCGCCAGAGAGCCUCCAGCCAACCCUCCAAGACCACAGAGCCAGUUAGGGUGCCGCCUGCCCUCAGGGCGAGCUGCCUUCUCGCCUCCCUCGUCCAAGCCCUGGACGGAGUGGAUUUCCACACACGUGGUCUGUUUUAAAGAAGGCGUGUCGAACCCUGGCAAAAUCCUAGAAGCUGCGACUGCUGUUUUUACCACCCGGGGUGGGGGUGCCCUGGUCACUGUAUGUCCUUUAUAUAAGAGUCUAUGUACAGGGA